AACUUUCAACAACGGAUCUCUUGGCUCUCGCAUCGAUGAAGAACGCAGCGAAAUGCGAUAAGUAAUGUGAAUUGCAGAAUUCAGUGAAUCAUCGAAUCUUUGAACGCACCUUGCGCCCCUUGGUAUUCCGRGGGGCAUGCCUGUUUGAGUGUCA
rnacentral:rRNA from 1 species